UACGUAGGGGGCAAGCGUUGUCCGGAAUCAUUGGGCGUAAAGAGCGUGUAGGCGGCUCGAUAAGUCUGCUGUGAAAGUCCAGGGCUCAACUCUGGAAGGCCGGUGGAAACUGUCGGGCUAGAGUCCGGAAGAGGCGAGUGGAAUUCCCGGUGUAGCGGUGAAAUGCGCAGAUAUCGGGAGGAACACCAAUGGCGAAGGCAGCUCGCUGGGAAGGUACUGACGCUGAGGAGCGAAAGUGUGGGGAGCGAACAGG
rnacentral:rRNA from 1 species